GUAGGUGAACCUGCGGAAGGAUCAUUACCGAACCGUCAAACACGGGUUGUUGCUGGCCUCCCAAACGGGGCACGUGCACGCUCUGUUUACGCAUCCACUCACACCUGUGCACCCUCUGUAGUCCUAUGGUUCGGAAGACCCUGUCUUCCUUCUGUAGCUCUACGUCUUUACACACACGCCGUAGCGAUGUCUCAUGGAAUGUUUUUAUGCGUUUAACGCGAUACAAUACAACUUUCAGCAACGGAUCUCU
rnacentral:misc_RNA from 1 species